GUAGGUGGCAAGCGUUGUCCGGAAUUAUUGGGCGUAGAGCGCGCGCAGGCGGUUCUUUAAGUCUGAUGUGAAAGCCCACGGCUCAACCGUGGAGGGUCAUUGGAAACUGGAGAACUUGAGUACAGAAGAGGAAAGCGGAAUUCCACGUGUAGCGGUGAAAUGCGUAGAGAUGUGGAGGAACACCAGUGGCGAAGGCGGCUUUCUGGUCUGUAACUGACGCUGAGGCGCGAAAGCGUGGGGAGCAAACAGGAUUAGAUACCCUGGUAGUCCACGCCGUAAACGAUGAGUGCUAAGUGUUAGGGGGGUUUUCCGCCCCCCUUAGUGCUGCAGCUAACGCAUUAAGCACUCCGCCUGGGAGUACGGCCGCAAGGCUG
rnacentral:rRNA from 1 species